rnacentral:rRNA from 1 species
AACGAACGCUGGCGGCAGGCCUAACACAUGCAAGUCGAACGCCCCGCCAGGGGAGUGGCCGCCGGGUGAGUAACACGUGGGAACCUUCCCUAUAGUACGGAAUAGCCCAGGGAAACUUGGAGUAAUACCGUAUACGCCCGAAAGGGGAAAGAAUUUCGCUAUAGGAUGGGCCCGCGUAGGAUUAGCUAGUUGGUGAGGUAAUGGCUCACCAAGGCGACGAUCCUUAGCUGGUUUGAGAGAACGACCAGCCACACUGGGACUGAGACACGGCCCAGACUCCUACGGGAGGCAGCAGUGGGGAAUAUUGGACAAUGGGCGCAAGCCUGAUCCAGCCAUGCCGCGUGAGUGAUGAAGGCCUUAGGGUUGUAAAGCUCUUUUGGCGGGGACGAUAAUGACGGUACCCGCAGAAUAAGUCCCGGCUAACUUCGUG